rnacentral:rRNA from 1 species
GACGAAGGGGGCUAGCGUUGUUCGGAAUUACUGGGCGUAAAGCGAGUGUAGGUGGUUGUCCAAGUUGGAUGUGAAAGCCUUGAGCUCAACUUAAGAAAUGCAUUCAGGACUGGGUAACUAGAGGACCGGAGAGGAUAGUAGAAUUCCCAGUGUAGUGGUGAAAUACGUAGAGAUUGGGAAGAACACCAAUGGCGAAGGCGGCUAUCUGGACGGUUUCUGACACUAAGACUCGAAAGCGUGGGGAGCAAACAGG